CUUGCAAGGUUGUCACCAGCUAUUUUAAAUCCUCCUGGUGUCCCGCAAAGCUGCACUCUGUGCUCAACCAGCUAAUAAAUUCAUCUCAGUUCCUGUGCUCCAUGCAUCGGUGCUUGAGUUGUUAGCAUCUUGAUGCACUUGGUAACCACAGAAUCAUGGAAUGGCUUGGGUUGGAAGGGACCUUAAAGAUCAUCCAGUUCCAACCCCCCUGCCAAAGGCAGGGACAUUUUCCACUAGACCAGGUUGUUCAGAGCUCCAUCCAGCCUGCCUGGCCUUCAACACUUCCAGUUGAAGGCACUCUGGGCCACUCUGUUGCAGUGUCUCAGCACCCUCACAAUGAAGAAUUUGUUCCUAAUAGCCAAUCUAAACUUAGUCACUUUCAGCUCAAAGCCAUUGCCCUUUGUCGUAUUGCUACAUGCCCUUGCAAAUCCAGGAAGGGCAAGGAAAGCAGUGCUGGGAACAGCUGUGGGAGGUUGCCAAAGGCAUGAGGUGACCUAUAUCAUGGCUAUGGUUGAGUGGGAAUGUCUCCAGGCAGCAGAGUGGCACUUGAAAAAGUCUGACUGGAUCUGACCCCACAGUUCCCACUCCCUGGCUGGACUCUCCUUUUCUGGGAAGCAACCCCAGAGCACUGAGGCCUCUGUGAUGGCUGUGGAGGAAGAGAUGAUGGCUGGUUUCACCUCUGUUUCAGUUGCUGGAGAAGAAGGACGUUCUGCCUCCACUCUCCUGGGGCCCGGCCGUUCCUCCUGGCACAGACAUGUCCCACUGCCCACGAGACUUGGAUCAGAGGUGUUACAGCACGUGUAUAUUAAAGUCUGUAAUUGAAAGGAUUCAUUGCUUCCCUCCUUGCCUGUGUCUGAAGGAAGAAAUCCUUGUCCAGAUGUGACAGCUGCAUGGGAGGAAAGGACACUUGGCUAUGGCAAGCUCAGUAUUCUGAGUGCUUUACAGGAAACAUACAUGGUCACUACUGAGGAAAAUGAAACACUAUGUGAUCCAAUAAGAAGUCUUUGACAGUAGAAAGUGCAAAUGAAUAAUGCAGUUGUUGAGGUACCAGUUUAGCUGGCUUGGAAGGGCCAGAGUCUCUGGUCUGCUGAGGCCAGGUUACAUUGUAGAUAAAAUAAGUAGUGCCCCUUCAUGGUUUUUUAAAUUACAUUUUGACAAGUUUUAGUAAUGGCUUUCCAUCAGGAAACCACCAUCCUCUUUGCAUAGAGAAACAGUAAUCCUUGUGCCUAGAGUCUCAAGCCACCUGGGUGAGCUGGUAUGACUGAUCCGGCAGAAAAGGCAGCCUGACUUUGUCACUGUCCUCUUGCACUAGAAAUGCCAUAAUAGACAUGGCAAAUGAUGAGGCAUCUGGUCAGAGGCCCUUUAAGGCAGGGAGAGGGUAAGAUUAGAAAAGGUGCUGUACCUGUGAAAGGAGUCUUUGCUCUUGUAAAACUGGCAGUGGUCUUCUCUAGCCAAAAAAUGAGGAGAGUGUUCUGGGAACACAGCACAGUAAGAGGGAGGAUGGGGAAGAAAUGGACAAGUGAGGUGACUUCUCAACAUCUCUAUUGCUGUCAAUGUACAAUGCAAAUGUGUUGUAUCUGUGUACUGAAUCUGGCUGGCAAAGGGGCUGCAGCACUCCUGUACAGGACAAGCCCUCAAACCACAGGCUUCAUUCCUGGUGUCUGAAUACCCCGUUGAUUGAUUUAACUGUGGCAGCUGCAGGACUCUUGGUGGGGUGGGAGCCUCUGUGCCAGCACAGAAGGCUGAAUGGAAAUGAGAAUGUGGUGAAUGGAAAUGAGAAUGUGGUGCAUCUUCCUUCUUCUGUUCCUCUUCCCACUGCUUCCCACCACAGAGUGCCACUGUUUCUUUGCCCUGGGGUGCUGGUUGGCCACUGUGGCACACACAAACACUCUGCAGAAUAAGAUCCCUCUCCGGUGGGGAGAGGCUUACCAAGCUCAAUGAUGUCACAGCCAGUGAGUGCCAGGGCCACCUAAAGGCUGGGAGGUGUCUGGGAAGGCAGGCAUGGCCAUGGGGAGCAAAACUUCCUGCUUGCAGUGGUGAAACACCAAGGGCAUCCAUUUUUUGAUGUGGAGUUGGGUGAAUAGAUGGGUGCUACUCUGCCAAGCUCCCCAAGACCUGAAUUGCUGAUGGCUCCAUGUUGUGGAAAAAUCCUUGAGCCAGUGGGAACAUCUCAGAUGCCCAUUCAGGCUGUCCUCUCCUGCCUCACAGAGAGCUGAAUGCUGGAGAUAAUUCUGAGUCUAUAAAACUUUGCUGGAUAUAGCUCAGUUUGCAGGCUCUCAUUCCAGUUUUGAGGGGCAAGCUGCAUGACCGCAGAGGCACAACAAAAGGUUUGCCAAGGCUGACUUCUUCCCUGGCACUGAGUUCCUGGGCCUUCUGGCCUCUCACCUUCACAAAACACACCGAUAAAUGAGCUAGGAAGGACUUAAUGAUCACUACUGACUGAAGAUGUUUGUUAAACAUCCACAUGGCAAUCCUUUUAAACUUCUGCAGAGCCAAAUCAGUAUCCUAUUCCUACCUACAAGAUGGAGAGCACACACAGAGCAGGAUACAGCAGAUAAGGCUACACUGAAUUUAUA